rnacentral:snRNA from 1 species
CAACUCUGGUUUCCCUUCAAAAUGCAUUUUCUUUUGCCUUUUACUAAAGAUUUCCAUGGAGGGGAACAACUCAAUGAGUCUUACUCAUAUUUUCUAUAGCCCACUUCUGUGGGUUU